rnacentral:lncRNA from 1 species
GUCAAACAAUACACUACAUUGUAUGAACACACACAUUCUACCAAAACUUAUUAAUGCAGAAACAACAUUCAUAGAAAUACAUAUACUUAUUUAUGCAGCUGCUGUCACUGCCACUAUACACCUAGGUCUUAAAACACUUCCAGAUAAGCUGGGCACAAACAUGAGACACCAAAUGCCUAGAAUUUGUUUUUCUAGUCAUUAUUUCAGGCAGGCUUUAAAGCCUGGAAAAAAAUGACUCGAAAAACAAAUAAACAAAAUCAGAACAGAAUUAGGUAGACUCACAAAAUACACAAAAAACAAC